AUGAACGCUAGCUACAGGCUUAACACAUGCAAGUCGAGGGGCAGCAUGGUCUUAGCUUGCUAAGGCCGAUGGCGACCGGCGCACGGGUGAGUAACACGUAUCCAACCUGCCGUCUACUCUUGGACAGCCUUCUGAAAGGAAGAUUAAUACAGGAUGGCAUCAUGAGUCCGCAUGUUCACAUGAUUAAAGGUAUUCCGGUAGACGAUGGGGAUGCGUUCCAUUAGAUAGUAGGCGGGGUAACGGCCCACCUAGUCUUCGAUGGAUAGGGGUUCUGAGAGGAAGGUCCCCCACAUUGGAACUGAGACACGGUCCAAACUCCUACGGGAGGCAGCAGUGAGGAAUAUUGGUCAAUGGGCGAGAGCCUGAACCAGCCAAGUAGCGUGAAGGAUGACUGCCCUAUGGGUUGUAAACUUCUUUUAUAAAGGAAUAAAGUCGGGUAUGGAUACCCGUUUGCAUGUACUUUAUGAAUAAGGAUCGGCUAACUCCGUGCCAGCAGCCGCGGUAAUACGGAGGAUCCGAGCGUUAUCCGGAUUUAUUGGGUUUAAAGGGAGCGUAGAUGGAUGUUUAAGUCAGUUGUGAAAGUUUGCGGCUCAACCGUAAAAUUGCAGUUGAUACUGGAUAUCUUGAGUGCAGUUGAGGCAGGCGGAAUUCGUGGUGUAGCGGUGAAAUGCUUAGAUAUCACGAAGAACUCCGAUUGCGAAGGCAGCCUGCUAAGCUGCAACUGACAUUGAGGCUCGAAAGUGUGGGUAUCAAACAGGAUUAGAUACCCUGGUAGUCCACACGGUAAACGAUGAAUACUCGCUGUUUGCGAUAUACUGCAAGCGGCCAAGCGAAAGCGUUAAGUAUUCCACCUGGGAAGUACGCCGGCAACGGUGAAACUCAAAGGAAUUGACGGGGGCCCGCACAAGCGGAGGAACAUGUGGUUUAAUUCGAUGAUACGCGAGGAACCUUACCCGGGCUUAAAUUGCAGAUGAAUUACGGUGAAAGCCGUAAGCCGCAAGGCAUCUGUGAAGGUGCUGCAUGGUUGUCGUCAGCUCGUGCCGUGAGGUGUCGGCUUAAGUGCCAUAACGAGCGCAACCCUUGUUGUCAGUUACUAACAGGUUCCGCUGAGGACUCUGACAAGACUGCCAUCGUAAGAUGUGAGGAAGGUGGGGAUGACGUCAAAUCAGCACGGCCCUUACGUCCGGGGCUACACACGUGUUACAAUGGGGGGUACAGAGGGCCGCUACCACGCGAGUGGAUGCCAAUCCCCAAAACCUCUCUCAGUUCGGACUGGAGUCUGCAACCCGACUCCACGAAGCUGGAUUCGCUAGUAAUCGCGCAUCAGCCACGGCGCGGUGAAUACGUUCCCGGGCCUUGUACACACCGCCCGUCAAGCCAUGGGAGCCGGGGGUACCUGAAGUGCGUAACCGCGAGGAGCGCCCUAGGGUAAAACUGGUGACUGGGGCUAAGU
rnacentral:rRNA from 1 species